rnacentral:rRNA from 1 species
GAUGAACGCUGGCGGCGUGCCUAAUACAUGCAAGUCGAGCGAAUGGAUUAAGAGCUUGCUCUUAUGAAGUUAGCGGCGGACGGGUGAGUAACACGUGGGUAACCUGCCCAUAAGACUGGGAUAACUCCGGGAAACCGGGGCUAAUACCGGAUAACAUUUUGAACCGCAUGGUUCGAAAUUGAAAGGCGGCUUCGGCUGUCACUUAUGGAUGGACCCGCGUCGCAUUAGCUAGUUGGUGAGGUAACGGCUCACCAAGGCAACGAUGCGUAGCCGACCUGAGAGGGUGAUCGGCCACACUGGGACUGAGACACGGCCCAGACUCCUACUGGAGGCAGCAGUAGUGAAUCGUCCGCAAUGGACGAAAGUCUGACGGAGCAACGCCGCGUGAGUGAUGAAGGCUUUCGGGUCGUAAAACUCUGUUGUUAGGGAAGAACAAGUGCUAGUUGAAUAAGCUGGCACCUUGACGGUACCUAACCAGAAAGCCACGGCUAACUACGUGCCAGCCGCCGCCGUAA